AAAAAAUAUACAAACAUUGUAAUUGAUUUAUACAUUGGAAUCAAUAAACAAAAAAUCAAAAAAAAAAUUAACAACUGGAGUCGGUUAACCUUAAUCGACUACUGAACAUAGUCGAUUAAGCCUUAAUCGACUAUUGAACAUAGUCGAUUAAACACACGUAGUCGAUUAAGGCCCUGCCUGCGCGAAUUUCUUUUUCUGCGCGAAUUCAGCAAACCCAUCGGAAUCUUCCACCCAAAACCGCCGCCGCCAGCAAACCCAUCGCAAUCCUCCACCCAAAACCGCCGCCACCAACAGACCCAUCGCAAUCCUCCACUCAAAACCGCCACCACAACCAUCAUUACCAUCACUCAUGAAUAGAGUACACAAUCCCAAUAAUCGUCCGUCACUACCACCGGUCACCGAGUACACACUCCCCACCUGGGACGAUUACAUACACUGUAAAAACACACACACACACACACACAGUCAGCUUUCGAUUAACGGUCAAAUCUUCGAGAUCUGCCUGACCGGAAGCAAUCUCCGACGAAGGUAAUUGCCAAGAGAAGAGAGAAGACGAGAAGAGGGAAGACGAGAAAAGCAGAAGAGAGAACGGCAAAACGGCAGAAGAGAGAGAGACGAGAAGACGAGGACGAGAAAAAAAGAAGAGAACGGCAAUAGGUUAGGGGUAAUAAGGGUGGUUUGGGAAUUAUUAAAUAAUAUUUGGG
rnacentral:lncRNA from 1 species